AGACCACAUCAGAUCUGUGGGGCCAAGAUGAAGUGUGAAAGCCUCUGGCUCUAACUUGAAUGAGAUAAUUCCUGGACAGAGAUCUAUGGAGGAGAAGCUUAAAGAAGUUCCAGGGGAGAAAGGGCUGCUUGGCACCAGCCAUGAAGAUCCACAGGUGCCCAUAGUAAAUCUACAAAUUCUUGUUUGAAGAAAGUUCCAAAAUGAGGAGAGGAAGCUUGAGAAGUGACAUAUUCCCAGUCCCUCAGCCCUUCUCCCUUUCCAAUGAUCCCCCUUCUCAGAGCUGCACUUCCCAUUCCCCUCCCCGAUCUCUUUGUUACACUUUCCAUCUCCAUCUUUACAAAAGCCUCUGCCUGCAUUGAGAUUAUUAAGGUGGCUUUUUGAGGACUGGAAAGUCCCCCAUCUUCUCGAGAUGCCGGCAUUCAAAUAAACAUCUUUCCUUUUUCACCAGCA